GCGCUAGGCUUCCAUCGCCUGCGGGAGCUCCAAAGGUUCACUCACCCAAGCGGGUUAACCGCGGCCCAGGACUCGAAGAACGUCCCGCUGAGCGCGCGAGUGCUCUCAAGUAGGGGGUGGCUGUAGAGGCCAUCGAUCACCUUUUCCUGUCCCCUCCCUCCUCUGAAGCACGGCGGACAGCGGGUUGGGGAUGGCUUCAGGCUGACGCUCAACUUUUAUGGACCCAGACAGACACCCACUGAGACAAGCAGGGGUACGGAGGUCGGGAUCCAGGUUGGACGUUAAACUCGCUUGGGCAGACCGAAGCUGCUGCGGCUCCCCAGCGCCUUGAUGUGAGCCUGGGAUCCAGCCUCAGAAGCAUGGAGACAAGCUCUGAGAUCUGAACUCCGUCCUCAUCAGCCGGCUUUCUUGGGACGCCGAGGCCCUCACCCGAGGUGGCCUGAGAGCGGAAGAACUUUCCGCACUCCCAUCCCCUCCAGCCCCCCGCGCAGGCCCGGGCGCGUGUGGCGCGUUAGCCCCUUCCCUUCCUGGGAGCAGCGCAUCCUCAGCCCCGAUGGCGCCCAGCGGCCGUCCCACUCACCUCACUGGCCGAGCUAAGCUAGGCUGAAACACACUGGUGCCGCAGGGAAUGGGGGCUUCGGCCACCCCGCCGCGAAGAUUUGUCCCUUGUCGGGAGUCUCAGUGGGGAAGGUCCUCGGAGCUGCAGGAGCCCAGCGUCCCCCCCAGCUUCGCUCCCGGGCGUGCAGACCGCGGGCAGUGCUCCAAAGACAUUGGCCUUGAUGUCACCCAAGGAAAGGCAAGGAGACCCUCAAGAGGACCUGGUUCCAGCCUCUCGCUGCAGGAGAGAUGCCACUGCCCUCUGAGAGGCCACUCAGCCAUCUCCAGGUCCUCAUUUUGCAGCUGGGCACAUCAGGGGACAGCUGCUCUUGUUGGCAAUCCAAGCCACAUCUGGCAGAUGUGUCAGCAGGAUGCAGAAGGAAUGUAUCUGCAGCCCAAGUUCACUUCCAGAUCUGGAUGAACACCAGCACCUGCCAUAUAGGUUUAUUGGAGAUGUAUGAGGCUCAGAACAAUGCCUGCCAGCACACAGGGACACCGCAGACCAGCACGCUGGCAAGGUUAUCUGCUGGCUUCAGCUGUGGAGUUCACUGUGUGCCAGCAGCUUGGAUGCUUCAGAGACUUACCAGCCCAGGAGGGGUCGAGGAGGCCCCCCAGAGCAGCUUCCGGUCCAUCUUUCGGCCAGCGGAGGCCUGGCUUUCAGCGCUGUCCAAGGGUGAAAUUGUGUUACAUUCUGCCUGGUAAUGAGGUGUUGCAGGUCUUGGCCCCCAGCCAGCAGAAGCAGCUUUGGCCAACAGCCCUGGCCCAGCCACCAUCCAGCCAAGGACCGGACUGGCUAGAAGAGCUAGGGAGGAGGGUGAGUGGAGUAUUUGAGACAGGGACAGGGAAGUUCAGGGGCAGAGGGUCAACACCAGGAAAUGAAGCGAGGGGAUCUUUCUGAGAACCACAGAGUGCUGAACACCUCAUACCCAGCACCUUGUACCCAGUACUUUGUCCUCAGUACCUCAUAUCCAGCAUCUUGUACCCAGAACUUUGUACUCAGUACUUCAUAUCCAGCACCUUGUACCCAGCCCUUCACAGCUGGUACCUGGCAACUUGCUCAGUCGUGCCACCUUCUUCACACAACAGGUCUCUGGUACCCCAGGGCUGCUACAGUAAAUGGGCAGGAGCAGGAGACACUGUCACCUUCUGUGGUGCUGGUCCUAAGCCUGGGUGUUGACAGGUCACACCGUUUUGAGCCCCUGGGGUGGGUCUAUUCCACACUUCUUCUCCUUCAGUGCCCCAGCUGGUACAGUCCCCGGGCUGCCACUCCAAUUUCUGUCUCCAUCUCCAUACAGUGCUCUCUACAUGUCUGUGUUUGAGACCAAAUUUCCCUCCUCCUAGGGCGCUAGAUUAAGACCACACUAAUCCUGUAUGACAUCAUCUUAACCCCAUUUUCACAUCUAGUCCCAUUCCCAGUAUUAGAGAUUUAGGACACUUAAAAUUCAACCCACAACCAAGAACUGUUUAAUACUGACUGACAGGACACUGCUGUCCACCCUACACUCUGCUAGGAGCUUCUGUGACAGGUAGUGUUACAUACCCAUCUUAUUGAUGAGAAAAUUGAGGCUCAGAGCACACACACACACACACACACACACACACACACACACACACACACUAUGGCUACAGCUGGGAGUAAGGAGCAGAGCAGUGGUGGAGCCGGGCGGUGGUGGGGCAUGCCUUUAAUCCCAGCACUCG